rnacentral:rRNA from 1 species
GUCAAGCGAAAAAGGGUCUACGGAGGAUGCCUAGGAGCUGCCAGGCGAAGAAGGACGUGAUUAGCUGCGAAAAGCCGGGGGGAGGAGCCAAUAUCCCACGAUCCCCGGGUCUCCGAAUGGGGUAACCCGUUUGUCUGGAUGACAAACAUCUAUACAUGAAUCAAUAGUGUAUAGAAGAAAGACGCAGGGAAGUGAACCAUCUAAGUACCUGCAGGAAAAGAAAUCUACUGAGAUUCCCAUAGUAGCGGCGAGCGAAGUGGGAAGAGCCCAAACCAAUUAUAGCAAUAUAGUUGGGGUUGUAGGACAUAUCUUGAGCGCAAGCUCGUGAAGUAAGAAAACUAAAGGUUAGCAGAACUGUUUUGGGAAAGCAGACCAAAGAGGGUGAAAGUCCUGUAUGCGAAAACCUGAAGACUUCAUGAGAUAUGAUCCUGAGUACGACGGGACACGAGGAAUCCUGUCGGAAGCAGGGGGGACCACCCUCCAAGGCUAAAUACUCGGCAGCUACCGAUAGCGCAUAGUACCGUGAGGGAAAGGUGAAAAGAACCCCGGGAGGGGAGUGAAAGAGAACCUGAAACCGUAGACUUACAAGCGGUCAAAGCCAAGCAAUUGGUGAUGGCGUGCCUUUUGUAGAAUGAGCCUGCGAGUUACCGUAUGUAGCAAGGUUAAGGGAUAGGAGUCCCGGAGCCGUAGGGAAACCGAGUCUGAAUAGGGCGUUAAGUUGCAUGCGGUAGACCCGAAGCCAAGUGAUCUAUCCAUGGCCAGGCUGAAGCCCCGGUAAAACGGGGUGGAGGGCCGAACCUAAAUCCGCUGAAAAGGGUUGGGAUGAGCUGUGGAUCGGAGCGAAAGACUAAACAAACUUGGAGAUAGCUGGUACUCCCCGAAAUAGCUUUAGGGCUAGCGUUGUACGGACUGUCUCGGAGGUAAAGCACUGAAUAGAUGCGGGCCCUUCACCGGGUACCAAGUUUAAUCAAACUCUGAAUGCCGAGAUACAAUAUACAGCAGUCAGACGGCGACUGAUAAGGGCCGUCGUCAAAAGGGAAACAGCCCAGACCGACAGUUAAGGUCCCCAAGGUAUGCUAAGUGGGAAAGGAAGUGCGAUUGCACAGACAGCCAGGAGGUUGGCUUAGAAGCAGCCACACCUUUAAAGAGUGCGUAACAGCUCACUGGUCGAGUAGUCGUGCGCCGACAAUUUAACGGGGCUAAGCAUACCACCGAAACUUCGGCAUAGAACUUGAUUCUGUGGGUAGGGGAGCAUUCCAUGUACGGAUGAAGGUGAAUCGGAAGGUUUGCUGGACGGGAUGGAAGAGAGAAUGCAGGCAUGAGUAACGAAAAGACAGGUGAGAUCCCUGUCCGCCGAAAGCCUAAGGUUUCCAGGGUAAAGGUAAUCUACCCAAGGGUUAGUCGGCCCCUAAGGCGAGGACGAAAGUCGUAGUCGAUGGGAAACGGGUCAAUAUUCCCGUACCUCUUACUGAUUCGAAGGAAUGAAGCAUAGGGUGAAACACUGCCGGGCGACGGUUGUCCCGGUCGAAGAAGCGAGCCGUUGAACUCUACAGUCAAAUGCGUAGGGUGAGGUAAGCUUGGAGCGAAGCGAUCUACGGAAAGCUGAAGAGUGUGUAAUCGUCGUGACGAGAAAUAGUUUCUAAGGUUAGUCAGUAAGGGACCGUACUAUAAACCGACACAGGUGGGCGAGCUGAGAAUGCGCAGGCGCACGGAAGAAUUCGCGUUAAGGAACUCGGCAAAAUACAUAUGUAACUUCGGGAUAAAUAUGGCCAUGGCGACAUGGUUGCAGAGAAAUGGCCCAAGCGACUGUUUACCAAAAACACAGGUCUAUGCGAACCAGCAAUGGGAAGUAUAUGGACUGACACCUGCCCGGUGCUGGAAGGUCAAGAGGAGUUGUUAGUAGCAAUACGAAGCAGCGAAUUUAAGCCCCAGUAAACGGCGGCCGUAACUAUAACGGUCCUAAGGUAGCGAAAUUCCUUGUCGGGUAAGUUCCGACCCGCACGAAUGGUGUAACGAUUUGGGCACUGUCUCAACGCGAAAUCCGGUGAAAUUGAAGUUCGGGUGAAGAUGCCCGAUACUUGUGGUUAGACGGAAAGACCCCGUGAACCUUUACUUUAACUUGAUAUUGAAACUUGGAUCAGCAUGUGUAGGAUAGGUGGGAGACAAGGAUGCAUGCCCGUCAGGGUGUGCGGAGUCGAUGGUGAAAUACCACCCUUGCUGAUACAGGUUUCUAACCGGGUCCGUAAGCCGGAUUCGGAACAGUGUCAGGCGGGAAGUUUGACUGGGGCGGUCGCCUCCCAAAGGGUAACGGAGGCGCGCGAAGGUCACCUUAGGAUGGUUGGGAAUCAUCCGGCAAGUGUAAAGGCACAAGGUGGCUUGACUGCGAGACUGACAGGUCGAGCAGGUACGAAAGUAGGUCUUAGUGAUCUGGCGGUAGCGUGUGGAAGCGCCGUCACUUAACGGAUAAAAGGUACUCCGGGGAUAACAGGCUGAUCUUGCCCAAGAGUUCACAUCGACGGCAAGGUUUGGCACCUCGAUGUCGGCUCAUCGCAUCCUGGGGCUGGAGCAGGUCCCAAGGGUUUGGCUGUUCGCCAAUUAAAGCGGUACGCGAGCUGGGUUCAGAACGUCGUGAGACAGUUCGGUCCCUAUCUGCCACAAGCGUUGGAUGUUUGAGAGGUUCUGCUUUUAGUACGAGAGGACCGAAGUGGACGAACCUCUAGUGUACCAGUUGUUCCGCCAGGAGCAGCUGCUGGGUAGCUACGUUCGGAAGGGAUAACCGCUGAAAGCAUCUAAGUGGGAAGCCCUCCUCAAGAUGAGACAUCCCUGACUCUUUAAGAGUCCUAAAGGAACCAGUGAGACUAACUGGUUGAUAGGCUGGAGGUAUAAGCAUGGUAACAUGUUCAGCUUACCAGUACUAAUAAGCCGUGAGGCUUGACC